AUGGGUUGGAAUUGGGGUUUGAAUCGAAGAAUUACUAAUUUAGGUCUUUCGAGCCAAAAUCUCCAAAUUUUCCUUUUGAAAUCGAGUUUUAACAAGAUUUAAAUGACAAGAAUCAAAGAAAAAUAAUUGAAAUAGGGAUUUGGCACUUACCCAAGCUUUAAAAUGGAAAAAAUCGCCCCAAAACUCUAAAAUUCAAAGC
rnacentral:lncRNA from 1 species